CCUACGGGCGGCAGCAGUGAGGAAUAUUGGUCAAUGGACGAGAGUCUGAACCAGCCAAGUAGCGUGAAGGAUGACUGCCCUAUGGGUUGUAAACUUCUUUUAUAUGGGAAUAAAAUGUUCCACGUGUGGGAUUUUGUAUGUACCAUAUGAAUAAGGAUCGGCUAACUCCGUGCCAGCAGCCGCGGUAAUACGGAGGAUCCGAGCGUUAUCCGGAUUUAUUGGGUUUAAAGGAAGCGUAGGUGGAUUGUUAAGUCAGUUGUGAAAGUUUGCGGCUCAACCGUAAAAUUGCAGUUGAAACUGGCAGUCUUGAGUACAGUAGAGGUGGGCGGAAUUCGUGGUGUAGCGGUGAAAUGCUUAGAUAUCACGAAGAACUCCGAUUGCGAAGGCAGUUCACUGGACUGCAACUGACACUGAGGCUCGAAAGUGUGGGUAUCAAACAGGAUUAGAUACCCUUGUAGUC
rnacentral:rRNA from 1 species